rnacentral:lncRNA from 1 species
CCCUAGACAUUUUAUUUUAUUGUUGUAUGUACAUUUGUAUGUAUUACAUAUAUUUAUGUAUAUGAUGUAUAUGUAUAUACAUACAUAUGAACAUACAUAGGUAUUUCUCAUGGUUAAACACUGUUCGCCAUUUUGUUUCUGCUGAUUCGCGUAAAGCUCCUCCUAUGUAACCUGUUUUAUCUCUUAGGCUGACUAAAUAGUUAAACUUUAAAUGUGUUAAAAUGCAGUACAUACACAUCGCAUGGAUACAGGCCUAUGCAUGUAUGUACAUGAUUUCUCGUCAGUAUUAUGAUACAAUGUAAUUAUAUGAGAAAAACUGUCACCUGUGUGUACAUACAUGUACAUACAUUUGUACAUAUAUGAACACAAACACUUAUACGAAUGUGGGUGUGGAUAAACAUGUUUAUUCACACACAUAUGUACAUAUAUAUGAAUGUAUGUACAUUGGAAUAACGAACACAAAAUAUUUUCCAGUUUUUGUUUGGUGGGUAAUGCACACACUCACGGGCUUACUCAAGACAACACAAAUGCACACUGGUGUGUGUAUAAAAGCAUACAACUCAAUAAAAAAUGAAUAGGAACAAAACUGGUUUCUUGAUACCUCUUUACGAGGAAUGUCUUCAUUAGUCGUCGGGUACAAAAUUUCUACGUUUAUCAGGUUGAUCCGACAUACAUAUGUACAUUCGAGCCGAGCCGAAUUUUAAUACUCUAAUAAUACACACAUGUAUACAUACAUAUACAUGUAUGUACAUACAUACGAAGCAAAUUUACUGAAGCAUGUUGGUUUAUAAGUACACUUCACUACAAAAUGUCCAUGUGCGUAAAUACAUUAUACACUAAUGUAAUACAUUUUUUUUUGGUCCAUAAUAUUGGACCUAUUUAUGUAUGUAAAGAUAAUGUAAAUCCGAUCUGUCUUUCUUGACAGCGGAAUUGAAACAUGCAUACAUACAUAUGUAUAUAGGUAUGUACAUAUUUGAAUAUCCUUCGUCGUUAGCUGAUGUACAUACAUAUGUACAUAUCCAUACACACGUAUGCAGCCUGGGGUUUGUAUGCAUUGAUGACGGUCUGAAACAACAUUUCUGCUGGCUUGAGGCUCGGACAUAAAAUUUCAAGCAACGACACGCAAAAAGCACUUGGGUUAAGUUUACGUUGAUCGUAUAAAUAAGAAAAGGGCAAGAAAAGCUUACCAUGUCGGGAAGAAUCUUGCAUACUCUCGCUCACUAUUUCACCAACAAGUUAGGUAAAUAACCAGCUGAGACAUUGAAACAUUGAAAACAUUUCAUUAUAUUUACAGUACGUAAAAAUAUAUAUUAUUAUUAUUUAGAGUAUUUUUUAAAAUGUACUAUACAUAUGUAUGAACAUACAUACGCAUACAAUUACUGAGAAUUGAUUUGGAGACUGGGAAAAUAAAGAAGAAAAAUGCUGUCUAUG